GCGCUUGUAGCUCAGUAGGAUAGAGCGACCGCCUCCUAAGCGGUAGGUCGGAGGUUCGAAUCCCCUCAAGCGCGCCA
rnacentral:tRNA from 1 species